GCACCCAAGUUCUCCAUGGCAAAUCACCCAAUUUCUUCCCUUCUCUGCUUCCAGAGAUGACUAUGGUGGUGUCACGGAAGAGGUCGAGGCAAGUUCCAACAACCCGAGAUCUAGGGUUUUACUUUCGAAUUCAUGUCUGAGAUCUCAUGAUUCCACUUGGCUGAGGUAUCUUCUCUGGCGGCGGCAGUGAAUGUGACAACGGUGUACGGGAGCUGCGUGUGUGGAGACUCGAUGAAAAUGGGUGGCUCCGGCAUCAACAGCAUGCAGCGGCUAGGGUUCUGACCAUGACCACCUGAUCCGCUGUAUAAGGAGUUGUGGAAGGCUUGUGCAGGGCCAUUUGUGAAGAUCCGCUGGAAAAACGAACGCUUUUGAUGAGGAUGUUACAUAACCUAGCUUUAUAGUUGAUGAUACAAACUGUGAAACUCAAGAUGAUGACAACACCAACGAAGAUAGCGAGUCAGAUGAUGACGAUGAUCAUUUCGAUUCUGUUUGUGCGAUAUGUGAUAAUGGUGGCAAGCUUACAUGUUGUGAAGAGAGAUGUUUUAGGUCGUUUCACGCAACCCCAGAUUCUGAAGAGGCACAAGAGUCUAAUUGUGAAUCUCUUUGUUUAUCUCUUGAAGAACUGGAGAGUCAAAAUGAAUAUAAGUGUGAAAAUUGCCAGUAUAGUCUGCAGCAGUACUUUGUCUGUGGUGAACUAGGGUCUUCUGAUAAAUCUUCAAAUACAGAGGU